GCAGACCACAAUGCACCGCUCACGGCGUCGGUUGCCCGGGCAAUGGGCCGCACGCUACGAGGCCCACACACCCAGAAGGUGGAGCCCCGGCCGGGUUACGAGGACCACCCAGCUGUCUGGAGAGAUGAAGAAAAUGAGGUUCAAAGAGAUGAAGUCUCUUGCCUAAAGUCAGUGACAGAAAGUGACAGAGCUGGGAUGUGAAUCCUGGUCUGACUCUACAGUCCCACAUGGUAGAUGGAACCUCCGAGCAACACCUAAACAAAAGGAGUUGAUGCCUCCGAACAGAGUAAUGUCGCUGGAGACACUAAGCAUCGUCGGCCCCUGGCAGGAGCUCCCUAAAUAUGUGUUGGAUGGAUGGAAGAAAGGAUGGAUAGUUCAGAGUACUUCAGCCUUGAUUCCUCCGCAACAGACACCUGAAACUUGACCCUACAUUGGUUCUUGGCCAUCGUGAUCUUCCUUGGACAGAAUCACCUUUCAGCUCCGGUCAUCAGACUUUCCCAGGGCCCUCAGAAAGCCCUUCAGAGUUGUUACUCACAGGCAGGCUGAGGGAUUCCUUACGGGGUCUGCAGCUCUCCUCACCUCAUCCACAAGUAGGACCGUGGCCUGUUCCUCACUACUGCCCCAGGAUCACUCUGUUCCCAGCCCAGUCCAGCAAUCACUUGUCUAGCUUUCUGGAACCUUGAGUACUUUCUUGAACCAUGAGUCCUGUGACCACCCUAGCAGCUCUAACCCUCCCUUAUCUGAAAGGAAGUGUGAGGUGACCUUGCAGGUCCCAGAGUUGAUUGAAGACCCCAUCCAGAAAGAAGGCACCCUGUGGGAGAGAUUGCAAGGCCUAGGUCUGAAUCCGGAAGCUUCCACCCCAUGGAGAAGGGCUGGCACCAGCCUGGGGCUGGCAGUGGAGCUGAGCUUUGGAGCCAAGGACUGUACUGCAGUGCAGGGAGAGUGAGGCCAGAAAGGCUGAGACAACUCAGGGAAAGAAAACCUCCCUUCUGGCUAAUAGUCAAGCACCGCCUGAGUAGACCAACACUCUCCUGUCCACAGGGGCAGCAGAUGAAGACACAACCAGAGAGGACUAACAGGCCCCCUCAGCUCUCAGUCAGAGGGCAGAGCAACACAGAAUAGACAUUAAAGGAACAGACUUUGAGGCCAGGCAGCCUUGGGUGUGCAUCUGUCCCUACUAAGCCAUGUGACAUUAAACAAGUGAGUCCACCUCUCUGAGCCUCAGGUUCCUCAUCUGUAAAAUGGGGAUUAUAAGAGUUCUUGUUUCUCAGGGACAAUGUGAGGAUUAAGUGAGAUGAUACACAUAGAGAAUGUGGUGCAGUACUGGGCACAUGGCAAAGAUCAGUGAUGCUAGCUACCACUUAUCAUUAGUGUUCCUGUAGACCAGGACUUCUCAACCUUGGCACUAUUCACCUUUUGGGCCAGAAAGUUUUUUUUGUUGUUGUUGUGGGGAGCUGUCCUAUGCAUUUGAGGAUGUUUAACAGCACCCCUGGCCUCUACCCACUAGAUGCCAAUCACACCACACCCCCAGUUUCAACAACCAAAAAUGUCUGCAGAUGGUGCCGAAUGUCUUCUGGAGGGUGAAAUCACUCCCCAGCAGUUGAAAAGCACCACCCUAAACAAUCUGGACUGAAUUUGAAUGUCACAGAUCCCAAGCUCACAGCUCCAUGUAAAGGCCACAAGGCAGGCAGGCCUACUUGCAGAUGAAGGAACGGAAAGAGCAACAAUUACAGAUCAAGCGGCUAGCUCCGGUGUAGACUAAGAGGCGGGAUCUGUAGUCUGCUCUAGGAGCUAACAAGGCCUCUGUGACUCAGUAGGUGACCUCAGUGUCACUCUUUAAUUAUAUGCAAAGUGGUCUUGUGUUAACUCUUAAUUAUUCUAGGGCUCCAAACAAGAAAAUAGGUAGU
rnacentral:lncRNA from 1 species